UACGUAGGGUGCGAGCGUUAAUCGGAAUUACUGGGCGUAAAGCGCACGUAGGCGGAUUGUUAAGUCAGAGGUGAAAUCCCGGAGCUCAACUUCGGAACUGCCUUUGAUACUGGCAAUCUAGAGUCCGGAAGAGGUUAGUGGAAUUCCCAGUGUAGAGGUGAAAUUCGUAGAUAUUGGGAAGAACACCAGUGGCGAAGGCGACACACUGGCCCGUUACUGACGCUGAGGCGCGAAAAGCGUGGGGAGCAAACAGG
rnacentral:rRNA from 1 species